rnacentral:tRNA from 1 species
GGUAGGCUGGCCGAAUGGUAAGGCAGCGAGUUGCUAACUCGUCGAACCCCUUGGGGUUCUGCAGGUUCGAGUCCUGCGCCUACCG